rnacentral:rRNA from 1 species
UACGUAGGGUGCAGGCGUUAAUCGGAAUUACUGGGCGUAAAGCGUGCGCAGGCGGUUUGCUAAGACAGGUGUGAAAUCCCCGGGCUUAACCUGGGAACUGCGCUUGUUACUGGCAGGCUUGAGUGUGGCAGAGGGGGGUGGAAUUCCACGUGUAGCAGUGAAAUGCGUAGAGAUGUGGAGGAACACCGAUGGCGAAGGCAGCCCCCUGGGCUAACACUGACGCUCAUGCACGAAAGCGUGGGGAGCAAACAAG